rnacentral:RNase_P_RNA from 1 species
GUAAGGGUGAAAUGGUGCGGUAAGAGCGCACCGCGCUGCUGGUAACAGUAGUGGCAGGGUAAACCCCACUCGGAGCAAGACCAAAUAGGAAAACUAUGGUGCUGCCCGCACUGUUUUCGGGUUGGUUGCUUGAGAAUCGUUGGUGACAAUGGUUCCAGAUGAAUGAUUAUCCACGACAGAACCCGGCUUACAGGCUGACUUACUUU